UACGGGGGGGGCAAGCGUUGUCCGGAAUUAUUGGGCGUAAAGAGCUCGUAGGCGGUUUGUCGCGUCGGCCGUGAAAACUUGGGGCUUAACCCCAAGCCUGCGGUCGAUACGGGCAGACUUGAGUUCGGCAGGGGAGACUGGAAUUCCUGGUGUAGCGGUGAAAUGCGCAGAUAUCAGGAGGAACACCGGUGGCGAAGGCGGGUCUCUGGGCCGAUACUGACGCUGAGGAGCGAAAGCGUGGGUAGCAAACAGG
rnacentral:rRNA from 1 species